rnacentral:rRNA from 1 species
AGUGGCGGACGGGUGAGUAACGCGUAGGAAUCUACCUGAUAGUGGGGGAUAGCCCGAAGAAAUUCGGAUUAAUACCGCAUAAUCUAUUCGUAGUAAAGUGGGGGACUUUCGAGCCUCACGCUAUCAGAUGAGCCUGCGUAAGAUUAGCUAGUUGGUAGGGUAAAAGCCUACCAAGGCGACGAUCUUUAGCUGGUCUGAGAGGAUGAUCAGCCACAUCGGGACUGAGACACGGCCCGAACUCCUACGGGAGGCAGCAGUGGGGAAUAUUGGACAAUGGGGGCAACCCUGAUCCAGCAAUACCGCGUGUGUGAAGAAGGCCUGAGGGUUGUAAAGCACUUUCAAUUGUGAAGAAAAGCUAGUGGUUAAUAGCCAUUAGCCUUGACGUUAACUUUAGAAGAAGCACCGGCUAACUCCGUGCCAGCAGCCGCGGUAAUACGGAGGGUGCAAGCGUUAAUCGGAAUUACUGGGCGUAAAGCGUGCGUAGGCGGUUUAUUAAGUCAGAUGUGAAAGCCCCGGGCUUAACCUGGGAACUGCAUUUGAAACUGGUCAACUAGAGUAUGGUAGAGGAAAGUGGAAUUUCUGGUGUAGCGGUGAAAUGCGUAGAUAUCAGAAGGACAUCAAUGGCGAAGGCACUUUUCUGACCAUACUGACGCUGAGGUACGAAAGCGUGGGUAGCAAACAGCAUUAGUACCCUG